rnacentral:rRNA from 2 species
GUGCCCUUCAGUUCGGAACAACCCAGGGAAACUUGGGCUAAUACCGGAUACGUCCGUAAGGAGAAAGAUUUAUCGCUGAAGGAUCGGCCCGCGUCUGAUUAGCUUGUUGGUGAGGUAACGGCUCACCAAGGCGACGAUCAGUAGCUGGUCUGAGAGGAUGAUCAGCCUCACUGGGACUGAGACACGGCCCAGACUCCUACGGGAGGCAGCAGUGGGGAAUAUUGGACAAUGGGCGCAAGCCUGAUCCAGCCAUGCCGCGUGGGUGAUGAAGGCCUUAGGGUUGUAAAGCCCUUUCGGCGGGGAAGAUAAUGACGGUACCCGCAGAAGAAGCCCCGGCUAACUUCGUGCCAGCAGCCGCGGUAAUACGAAGGGGGCUAGCGUUGCUCGGAAUCACUGGGCGUAAAGCGCACGUAGGCGGUCUUUUAAGUCAGGGGUGAAAUCCUGGAGCUCAACUCCAGAACUGCCCUUGAUACU